rnacentral:rRNA from 1 species
UACGUAGGGUGCAAGCGUUGUCCGGAAUUAUUGGGCGUAAAGAGCUUGUAGGCGGUUUGUCGCGUCUGCUGUGAAAUUUCGGGGCUCAACCCCGAACUUGCAGUGGGUACGGGCAGGCUAGAGUGUGGUAGGGGAGAGUGGAAUUCCUGGUGUAGCGGUGGAAUGCGCAGAUAUCAGGAAGAACACCCGUGGCGAAGGCGGCUCUCUGGGACGGUACUGACGCUGAGACGCGAAAGCGUGGGGAGCGAACAGG